rnacentral:lncRNA from 1 species
UAAUAAUAAUAAUAAUAAUAAUAAUAAUAAUAAUAAUAAUAAUAAUAAUAUCUGGGCAUAUUACAGCUGGACAACAUCAAGCAUGAACAUGUGAAGACUGUGGUCAGUAAAGAAUACACACAAAGAGUCAGAAAAAUUCUCAAAAGCAAGCUCAAUGGAGGCAACACCAUCAAGGCCAUAAACACCUGGGCCAUACCUGUCAUAAGAUAUACUGCUGGCAUCAUAAAUUGGACACAGAUGAAACUGGAAAAUUUGGACAGAAAAACAAGAAAACUCAUGACCAUUCAUCAUUCACUGCACCCUCGCAGUGAUGUUGACCAGCUAUAUCUGCCUAGAAGAUCAGGUGGCAGAGGACUCUUGCAAGUAAAACAAGCAGUCAAAGAAGAAGAACUUGCCCUGGCAGAAUAUGUAAAGCAAAGUGAAGAACCUGCUUUGAUUGAAGUCAAAAAUCAGAAACUCCUCAAAGCACAGCAGACAAAAAACCAGUACAAGAAAACCGCACUACAAACUAGAGCUGACAGCUGGCACAACAGAACAUUGCAUGGAAAGUUCCUUGACAAAAUUGAAGGAAAAGCUGAUAAGGAGAAGACCUGGCUAUGGCUCACGAAUGGGACCCUGAAGAAGGAGACAGAAGGCCUGAUCCUUGCAGCCCAGGAGCAAGCCAUCAGAACAAAUGCAAUUAAGGCCAAGAUCGAAAAAUCAGCUGGUGACCCAAAAUGCAGACUGUGCAAGGAAACCGACGAAACCAUUGAUCAUAUCCUCAGCUGCUGUAAGAAAAUUGCACAGACAGACUACAAACAGAGGCACAACUAUGUGGCCCAAAUGAUUCAUUGGAACUUAUGCCUCAAGUACUACCUCCCAGCAGCAAAGAACUGGUGGGAUCACAAACCUGCAAAAGUAUUGGAAAAUGAGCACGCAAAGAUACUGUGGGACUUCCCAAUCCAGACUGACAAAGUUCUGGAACACAACACACCAGACAUCACAGUUUUGGAAAAGAAGAAGGUUUGGAUCAUUGAUGUCGCCAUCCCAGGUGACAGUCGCAUUGACGAAAAACAACAGGAAAAACUCAGCCGCUAUCAGGACCUCAAGAUUGAACUUCAAAGACUCUGGCAGAAACCAAUGCAGGUGGUCCCGGUGGUGAUGGGCACAUUGGGUGCCGUGCCAAAACAGACUGACAAAGUUCUGGAACACAACACACCAGACAUCACAGUUGUGGAAAAGAAAAAGGUUUGGAUCAUUGAUGUUGUCAUCCCAGGUGACAGUUGCAUUGAUGAAAAACAACAGGAAAAACUCAGCCACUAUCAGGACCUCAAAAUUGAACUUCAAAGACUUUGGCAGAAACCAGUGCAGGUGGUCCCGGUGGAUUGGCACAUUGGGUGCCAUGCCAAAAGAUCUCAGUCAGCAUUUGGAAACAUUGACAAAAUUACGAUCUGCCAACUGCAAAAGGCCACCCUACUGGGAUCUGUGUGCAUCAUCCAAAAAUACACCACACAGUCCUAGACACUUGGGAAGUGUUCGACUUGUGGUUUUGUGAUACGAAAUCCAGCAUAUCUUUCUUGUUUGCUGUGUCAUACUAUGUCAAUAAUAAUAAUAAUAAUAAAACAACUUUAUUUAUAUCCCACCCUAUCUCCCCGUGGGAACUCGGGGCAGUUUCCAACAAGAAAUGGCUAACAUUCAAUGCCAUACCAACAAAAACAUUGCCAUGAGGAUUUAAACAAAGACGUCACAGGAAAUUAAAUAAUUUCAACUGCUAAACAUUAAAAGACAAGAAUUUGGAAUUCAAGCUAUCAACAAUAUAAAAUUUAAAUUUAAAAUUUAAAAUGCAGAGCCUAGCCAGCAUAAUAAGCCAUUUCUGAUUCUGUGGUAACAGUGCUAAAAGUUCCAAACAUCCUCUUCUCUAUAUGAGAGCAUAAAAAUGGUUUUAAUCUGUUUUUAAAAAGAGAGUAAGGAGGGAGUCAUUUUGAUCUCCUUAGGGAGGGAGUUCCAGAGGUGGGGGGGGGCAACCCUCUCUUGUUCUCAUCAGCCAUGUUUGAGAUGGGGGUGGGACUGGGCAGGCUUAUGCAAGGAGAUGUGGUUUGUAAGAUAGUCUGGGCCCAAACUGUUUAGGGCUUUAAAGGUAGUAGUACGUUUUAUUGAUUAACCUUUCGGCCGUAUCAAAACAUUUAACACAUAGACAUACAUACACAUACAACCCACGGUACAAAAAAGUUAAAAUAAACAGGCUGUCCAGGUCAAAUAUCUGCAUCACCUUUACAGUUUACCCCAAUCGAUUCCAAAUAAGCAGUUCUCAGCUGUGUUGCUUUGAAUAGGAAAAGGGCUGUUUUGUGUGUUAUUUUAGGAUUCUGGUCGGCCAACAAAAUUGUAGUUUUAAUAUGUGGGUCCCAGUAUGUUUUGUGAAUAAUGUAUGGCUCGAGGUAUUGGUCUCUCUAUUAUACAAUACACAGCUGAACAGUACAGGUGUGAUAUCCUCCACCUCUGAUGCUCCACAAAUAUAAAAUUGUUUGUUGUAUGGGACUUGAUUAAACCUUCCAUAUUUCACUAUUUUAUCCAGCUGCUCAAAUCAAGCUCUGGUAAAUACCCUCCUAAGGUGUUUAGGUAUUUCUGUCUUUAGAUAUUGGGCUGUUUGGAAAGUAUGUUUAAAGCGACUUAGCCAUUUCAAUGAGCCAGCUUUACUGAGGGUAGCAAUGUCUUUUUGGGCUUCUAUAUCCAGUACUCGGUGAGCAACUAUUUUUGGGUCUAGUUCUUCUAAGACAUUUGGGUACCGAAUCGGAAGUCCACAACUCCUAAUGUAUUUUGUCAGAUGAACUAGCCAAGAGGUUUCAUGUUGAUUUUCUAUCUGCUCUAACAGCCGCAGUUUUGGUAGCCUAUCAUUUGCCAUGGCAAUCAGUUUUACCCAGUAGUUGUAGGCCCUGAUUUUGGAUAAGCCAUCCACUGUAUAUACUCCCAGUUCUGCUCUUACUGUGGCAGCUGGGGUCGCUUUGUCCACUCCUAGAAAACUUUGCAGGUGCUGUGACUGUGAUUGCUCUAAUAAUGGUAGACCCCAAACUUCGGCUCCAUAUAAGAGCAUGGGGGUAACCUUCGCCUUAUAUACUUUAAGGAGUGGGUUUAAAGAUCCUGGUUGGCUGUGAUUUGUUAAUUUAAGUAGUUGAUUUGCAUGGGCUCUUGCCCUGACUAAGCUCCUUUGAUGAUGCGAAAGCCAAGAGCCGGUCUCGGAAAAAACAAUUCCCAGAUACGUGAAGGUGCAAACCCUCUCUAUUGGUUCACCAUCCAGGUACCAUCUAUGUCUGUUAUGUCGUUUGUCAAAUACCAUUAUUUUUGACUUUGCUUUAUUAAUAGUUAGGGUGUUGUUAUGACAAUAAGAAUUAAAUCUUCUCAGCAGCCUAAGUAGCCCAACUUGCGAAUAUGAUAAUAAAAUUAUAUCAUCAGCAUAUAGUAGGAUGUUAAAGUGUGUUUUGCACACCUUAGGCAUAUGUACCUCUGGGUCCUUCAGCUGUUUGGGGAGAUCAUUUAAGUAUAAGCUAAAUAACAGUGGUGCUAAUAUGCACCCUUGUCUGACCCCUUUGUAUGUUUCUAUACUGUUUGUCAUGGCUCCUUGCAUCCCAAACCGCACUUUCAGGAAGGUGUUUGUGUAAAGUGCUUUGAUUAGUGCCAGCAGUCUGGGUUCCAUAUUGAGAUCAGUUAAUUUCUUCCACUAUUUACAGUAUCAAAUGCUGUGCUGAGAUCUAUAAAGGCAGCAUACAGUUGUUUCCCUCUGCUGACAUAUUUUGUAAUUGUAUGAUUUAAAACAAAGCAAUUGUCAAUGGUUGAUCUACUCUGCCUGAAGCCAGCCUGUUCUUCAAUGAGGAUAUGUUUUUCUUUUUCCCAGCACUCAGCACUGUUCAGGAGAUAUCUGGCAUAUAUCUUGGCCACAAUAUCAAUUAGACUAAUUGACCUGUAGGAACCAGGGUCUUUUUUGUCCCCUUUUUUGUGUGCAGGGGCAACUUUUGCCAUCUUCCACCCAACUGGGAUCUGGCAGAUGUUAUUUAUGUGUGUAAAUAAGCCUGCUAACGGAGGGGCCCACCAAUCCAGAUGUGUUUUAAAUAGCUCAGCAGGUAAGUAAUCUUUCUCUGGGGCUUUAUUGGUCUUCAGGUUGUUUAUGAUACAUCUGACUUCAUCUUAUGUUACUGGUGGCAAGAGGGCUUUUAUUGAUAAAUCUUUACCUGGUGACUGUGUCUCUGUAGGUUCUGUGGUGGCAAACAAGUGGGAGUAGUAAUUUUCCCAGUCCUCUGCAGGGAUAGGUUUAACAAAUGCAAAUUUCCUUUCCUUCAAAAUUCCAGCUACUGUGUUCCAAAAGAUAGAAGUUGUUAUGACUCUUAGCUGAGCACUCAAGCGCUGACCAGAUCAAGACUGUAUGAUUUUUCUUUUUUGUUUUUAUAAGUUUCUUAGAUUCUUGUCUCAGGGUUAACAUUUUGACUUGCAGGUGUACGAGAGUAGAUACAAGAUGGCGGCAUGGUAACAGGGACCUUGAUAAGCUCCGCCGACGAGGAACUAAAACCGCCACGAAUUUUCGCUAUACGGCCUCCCAUUGCCCUCAAUCGGUUGCUAUCAGAAGAGUGAGGCUAUCGACCAUUUUUGGGGUUUUUGGCCUUACCGUAAGGGCUGCAGAGGCUGCUGAAAGGAGCUGCAGAAGACCAGGAAGGAUCCGCCUGGCCACCAUUUCAUCUGUUUGGUGCGAGAGGGAUCUCCAGAGUCCAGAUGCGAGGAAGCCCAUCGUAAC